CAAUGCAUAUAUUAACUCUUUGAUAACACAAGUUAAAUUAGUGAGAUGCAUAUAACUAGAAUCCAAAAGCAUUGGAUAACACAUGUCACAUGUCAAAACUGACUUUAACUAGUUCCACACCGCAUGUGUUGAGCCGUGACACUAUUCAAAACAUCAUUCAAGAAAAGAAUGGAUACAUGGAGAUAUAUACUAUAAUAUGCUUUGAUGCAUGAGGAUGGAUUAUAUUCAAUUCAUAUCAGUAAAAAAUAAAUAUUCACGGAUGAUAUCUCAAGACCUUUUGAAAAAAAAAACUGAUAUAAAAGUUUCUCAUCCAUAAGCAAGAGAGUGAUCAUCUUAAUUAGUUUUAAAUUUUGCAAUAAAAUUUUAUACCAGUCACGGAAUCACAAAAAUCAUACAUUCACAAUUAUCACAAAGUAAGUUCAUUUAAAGAAAUGCAUACUUGCAGCUUCCGCCUAUUUAUUCAAAUUCAUAUAUAUAUAUAGUAUAAACAUUUCAAUGACUUUAUUCACAAACAAUUUACAAAAAUACCAAGCACCAAUAAAAAUGAUCAAUUAAUCCACAAAGUGAGAAUAAAGACUAUAAUAAUACAUUGAAACAACAAUAAUCCACAAAGAUGAAUUAAUCUACCAAUUUGAAGUUCUUUAAGAUGCUACUAAUUUCCCGAAUCCGUAUAUUUGUCCAGCUCAAUUCUAACAAGCCAAUAUCACAAAAAUAAUUCUAUGAUAAACUAAGGCUUAAAUGAUAAAAAUCAUAACCUGGACUUUUCCUUGCUGAAAAUAGCUACGGCCAAGAUUUGCCUCAAAUUAACCACGUUACUUCAAGACAUCAACCGUUCAAGCAUUUCCUCUGAGCUUCGCAAUCUGCACUUUCAAAUCAUCUAAUUUAAUUCCUUUGAUCAAAACCAACCGCCGUGGAGGAUCUGAGAAUUAGGGAACAACAUAAUUUAGAGAAAAUCCUUAAGAAUGUUGUAAAAUUAGACAUAAAUUAUCUUUAUAAAUAAUUAUCAUAUACAAAUAUAACAAUCAAUUAAAUAUAAACAAAAGGGAAAUCAAU
rnacentral:lncRNA from 1 species